UGUUAAGCGGGCUGUGUGCCCAAGGACUGUGGGGCACAUGGCUCACCCGGAGCUGCCGAGGGCCGUUAUCGCGAUGGCUCUGUUGGCGACGUGCGGAGCAGAUGUUUGCACAGGUCAUGCGAGGAGCGGCGUAGUCGUGGCGUCCGAGGGAGACAAGGUCGUCUUGAACUGCGCUCUGCCACGGAAUGUGACAACCCGCAGUUUGGAGAGUAUACAAUGGCGAAAACACGACGUGAAUAUCAUUUACCACUCGAAGAAACUUGAAAAACCAUCUGUUUUUCAUGGACUCGCCUUUACGGGGAACAUAUCAGAUGGGAACGCUUCGAUGGCUUUCCUCAACAGUUCAAGUCAAUGAUUCUGGGCAUUACACUUGUACCCUGGAAGGGAAAAGCACUUCAAUCGUCAACAACUUCUGUCUGGAUGUCAAAAGAACAUACAUCACCACCACCACAGCAACAGAAUCUACAGCCACACAAGCCCUGCACGUUGAGAACUACUGGAGUACGACGAUGACAGUGAUCGUGGGAAUCCCUGUGUUCGCCAUCAUCCUCAUCGUCCUUCUCACAUGGGGAUACCACAAACAUCAUAAGACCGUUAGAGCUACAACGCAAAGAAAAAUGCAAGAGCGGCCAUCACACAUGCAGGAAUAUGCUAACAUUGACAAGUCUGAUAAUCUGCAAGAUGAAACGUACGAGAAUUUAUAUUAGCAAAAGUGAAACGGACUGUUGGCUUAAUAAAUAUACUAAUCAUGGAGUCGUCAUUUUCAUGCUCAUCUUCUUUGGUUAUUUCAGUAAAGUCACGUAAUAGAAAAUAAAAUGUAAAUAAAAUGAACAAAAAAAUAAUAUAAACGCAAAAAACCCACGACGUUUCGAUCGCAACACAAGCUGUCUUCACUGAAAGAACCAAAUAAUAUAAAUUCUUGCAGUCACAAAAGUUUUAAGUCAAAAUUCAUGAUCAUCAUUACAGCAGGAACAGCAGCAGUGUUGCCCUCAAACGCCGAGGCUUCUGCCCGCUCAAUCGACCACCUUCGAUUAAUCUCGGUCAUCUUAAUCCGCCAUUGUUCCUCUCGCUUGCUUGUGUGCAUGUAUCGGGUAACAUUCGCACGACCUACCGAGCCAUGAGUGUGUCGUUUCUGAUACUUUGUGGGUCUUGAA